CAGCAAGGCGCUCCCACAGUGCAACGGCGGGCUGAAGGGGCUCCUCAAGUGCCGCCAAAGCGGGAGCCCAGGCAGAGGAGACGCCCAGAGCCAGCGAGGGCUGUGAGGACUGCCAGCACACUGUCACCUCUCAGUAACAUGUUGUAGAGGCUGGGAAGUCCAAGGUCAUGGUGCCAACAGACUUGGUGUCUGGAGAGGGCUGCUCUCUGCUUCCAACAUGGUGUCUUCUCGCAGUGUCAUGUCCUCCUGACGGAAGGAAUGCUGUGUCUCACAUGGUGACAGGAAUUGAAGGACAAAAAUGGCUGAACACUUUGUGAAGCCUCAUUUAUAAAUGUCUUAAUCUCAUUCGUGAGGACUCUACCCUCAUGAAAACUUAAUCACUUCCUAAAGGACUUGCCUCUUAAUACUAUCACAUUAUCAAUUAAGUUUCAACACAUGACUUGAGGGACAUUCAGACCAUAGUACUUCCCUAGUUAGGAGACUAAACAAAGACAGGAGCAAGAAGAGGAGUCUCAUUUGCAGAAGAAAUGUCUGUUUCUCACUUGGCAUUGCAUAAGACUUAUCUGAGAGUGCCCAAUGUCACACAUCUAUGGUAAGAAGAGAAGAUACUGAUCAGAAGGGCCUGGAGGCUUUAUGAAGCAACAGUCUGAAAAGUCCUUGCAGGAAAUAGGCAAGGCUAUCCUGGAAGGACUCCUAGAUACAUGGCCUGGAUACAGCAAGAGGUGAAUGUCCUGGGUGCCUACAGCAGAGGCACACUUGGUAGUGUAGGCCUGCUAUCAACCCUACACCCUUGAAUCCUACAGACCAUUGGCAUGACAGCAGACAGAUCACUGGCAGGCAAGAUUUGAUGGAAGAACCAUGUAUCCGCCGCAAACGCAAGACUCAUCCGAGGAGCACUAGUAGCCUAGAGCCCUGAAUUCAUCCUGUGCCUGAUGUGAAAGUCACCCAAAAUCAACAUUUCUGUACCAUUCUGGUGGCCCAAUCUCAUAUAAUCACUUGAAAGGAAUAGCACACUGACUAAUCAAAGCCAUCAGCUCAUCAGCCACUGUUCCGGAAUCGAGGUCCACCCAUGGACUCCCAGAAGAACCCCUUAAGUAUUAGUACUGGAACUCCUCUAUGCACUUGAUCCACAUAAAGUACGUGUGUGUGGGCAGGGAGGGCUUGUAGAGGAUCAGAAAGUGCCUUACAGGAGAGAAACAGAGACCAAGACUAGGGAACCCUUUCUGCUGGAGGGGCAUCUAGACAUUUUGAAGAAACACACGAAAGAAUAGAGCCCCUGAGGUCACAUCCAGAUUUCAGUUUCUCUUCGGGAGUCUAAGAGACUGUU
rnacentral:lncRNA from 10 species